rnacentral:rRNA from 1 species
CGCGGUGAAUACGUUCCCGGGCCUUGUACACACCGCCCGUCACACCAUGGGAGUGGGUUGCAAAAGAAGUAGGUAGCUUAACCUUUUUGGAUGGCGCUUGCCACUUUGUGAUUCAUGACUGGGGUGAAGUCGUAACAAGGUAACCGUAGGGGAACCUGCGGUUGGAUCACCUCCUUACC